rnacentral:rRNA from 1 species
GCGAGGAAACUUUACAAUGCACGAAAGUGUGAUAAGGGGAUCUCAAGUGCUUUACUUCGGUAAAGCUUUUGCCAAGUUCAAAAAGCUUGGAGAAUAAGUGAUGGGUAAGACCGGUGCCAGCCGCCGCGGUAACCCCGGCGUCACGAGUGGGGGCCACGAUUAUUGGGUCUAAAGGGUCCGUAGCCUGUUUUGUAAAUCUCUUGUGAAAUUGUUAGGCUCAACUUAACAGCGAGCAAGAGACACUGCAGAACUUGGAACCGGGAGGAGGCAGAGGUAUUCCAGGGGGAGCGGUUAAAUGUAAUAAUCCCUGGAGGACCACCCGUGGCGAAGGCGUCUGCCUAGAACGGAUUCGACGGUGAUGGACGAAGGCUAGGGGAGCAAAAAGG